rnacentral:rRNA from 1 species
ACGCUCGACACCUACGGGAGGCAGCAGUAGGGAAUCUUCCACAAUGGACGCAAGUCUGAUGGAGCAACGCCGCGUGAGUGAAGAAGGUCUUCGGAUCGUAAAACUCUGUUGUUAGAGAAGAACACGAGUGAGAGUAACUGUUCAUUCGAUGACGGUAUCUAACCAGCAAGUCACGGCUAACUACGUGCUAGCAGCCGCGGUAAUCUGGAGGCCGGGUCUGGACGAAGGC